rnacentral:rRNA from 1 species
CAGCCGCGGUAAUUCCAGCUCCAAUAGCGUAUAUUAAAGUUGUUGUGGUUAAAAGCUCGUAGUUGAAUUUCGGGGUUAGUAGGUUGGUCAUGCCUCUGGUAUGUACUGGUCUCACUGAUUCCUCCUUCUUUAUGAACCGUAAUGCCAUUAAUUUGGUGUUGCGGGGAAUUUGGACUGUUACUUUGAAAAAAUUAGAGUGUUUAAAGCAAGCUAACGCUUGAAUACAUUAGCAUGGGAAUAAUGAAAUAGGACGUUCGAUCUUAUUUUUGUUGGUUUCUAGGAUUGACGUAAUGAUUAAUAGGGAUAGUUGGGGGCAUUAGUAUUCAAUUGUCAGAGGUGAAAUCCUUGGAUUUAUUGAAGACUAACUACUGCGAAAGCAUUUGCCAAGGAUGUUUCAUUAAUCAAGAACGAAAGUUAGGGAUCGAAGACGAUCAGAUACCGUCGUAGUCUUAACCAUAAACUAUGCCGACUAGGGAUCGGAUGAUGUUAAUUUUAUAAUGACUCAUUUGGCACCUUACGGGAAAC